CAGUCGCCACGGGAAUACGAAGGGGGCUAGCGUUGUUCGGAAUUACUGGGCGUAAAGCGCACGUAGGCGGAUAUUUAAGUCAGGGGUGAAAUCCCGCAGCUCAACUGCGGAACUGCCUUUGAUACUGGGUAUCUUGAGUAUGGAAGAGGUUAGUGGAAUUGCGAGUGUAGAGGUGAAAUUCGUAGAUAUUCGCAGGAACACCAGUGGCGAAGGCGGCUAACUGGUCCAUAACUGACGCUGAGGUGCGAAAGCGUGGGGAGCAAACAGGAUUAGAUACCCCAGUAGUCCCUGUCUCUUAUAA
rnacentral:rRNA from 1 species